rnacentral:siRNA from 1 species
UUCGAACUUAUUUACAAUACCUGC